rnacentral:rRNA from 1 species
GACAGAGGGUGCAAACGUUGUUCGGAAUUACUGGGCGUAAAGCGCGUGUAGGCGGUUUCGCAAGUCGGGUGUGAAAGCCCUCAGCUCAACUGAGGAAGUGCGCCCGAAACUGCGGAGCUUGAGUACCGGAGAGGAUGGUGGAAUUCCCCAAGUAGAGGUGAAAUUCGUAGAUAUGGGGAGGAACACCGGUGGCGAAGGCGACCAUCUGGACGGAUACUGACGCUGAGACGCGAAAGCGUGGGUAGCAAACAGG